rnacentral:rRNA from 1 species
UACGUAGGCAGCGAGCGUUGUUCGGAUUUACUGGGCGUAAAGGGCGCGUAGGCGGCGCAACAAGUCACUUGUGAAAUCUCCGGGCUUAACCCGGAGCGGUCAAGUGAUACUGUCGUGCUAGAGUGCGGAAGGGGCUACUGGAAUUCUCGGUGUAGCGGUGAAAUGCGUAGAUAUCGAGAGGAACACCUGCGGCGAAGGCGGGUAGCUGGGCCGACACUGACGCUGAUGCGCGAAAGCCAGGGGAGCGAACGGG